UACAGAGGGGGCAAGCGUUGUUCGGAAUUACUGGGCGUAAAGGGCGCGUAGGCGGCCUGCUAAGUCGAACGUGAAAUCCCUGGGCUCAACCCAGGAACUGCGUCCGAUACUGGUUGGCUUGAAUCCGGGAGAGGGAUGUGGAAUUCCAGGUGUAGCGGUGAAAUGCGUAGAUAUCUGGAGGAACACCGGUGGCGAAGGCGGCUUACUGGUCCGGUUCUGACGCUGAGGCGCGAAAGCGUGGGGAGCAAACAGG
rnacentral:rRNA from 1 species